GCCGAAGUGGUGGAAUGGCAGACGCGAUGGACUCAAAAUCCAUUGUUGGCGACAACGUGUGGGUUCAAGUCCCACCUUCGGCACCA
rnacentral:tRNA from 1 species